UACGUAGGUGGCGAGCGUUGUUCGGAAUCACUGGGCGUAAAGGGAGCGUAGGCGGGCUCUUAAGUUAGGUGUUUAAUCCCGGGGCCCAACCCCGGUCGUGCACUUAAAACUGGGAGUCUUGAAUAGUGGAGAGGUCAGUGGAAUUGGGGGUGUAGCGGUGGAAUGCGUAGAGAUCCCCAAGAACACCAGUUGCGAAGGCGGCUGACUGGACACAUAUUGACGCUGAGGCUCGAAAGCAUGGGGAGCAAACAGG
rnacentral:rRNA from 1 species